AGGGGUGUUUUGCCUGCAUGUAUGUACCAUGUGUGUGCCUGGUGCCUCCAGAGGCCAGAAGAGGACAUUGGAUCCCCUGGAACUGAAAGUUAACUGACAGUUGUGAGCUGCCAUGAUUCCCGAAAUCUGCUUAACACCUGGCUGUGGGUCUACAUCUGCCUCCGUAUGCUGUUAGUGAUUUUUAAGUCAGCAGUAAGACACAGCUGGGAAGGCUGUGGCCCUGGGCACCAGAAGAUGAAGAGGACAACACUUCAAUGACCAGGAAAGUUAAAGUCUUCCCCCCGAAGAACGUACAUUCUCUCUUCACCCUGCCACUCUUACCAGCCCAGUGAAGGAAGAAGCACAGAGGUCAAAGGCGAAACUCUGUUGCACUUGGUGGACAUUUUUCAUUUUCUUCUUUAUGGCAAAGCCAACUCCGUUUCUCUUCUGCUUCUCACCCUGCUGUCCUGUGCCGUCCACUCCAGUUUCUAAGACCCUUGAAUAAAUAUAGGUUACGAACA